UACGAAGGGGGCUAGCGUUGCUCGGAAUUACUGGGCGUAAAGCGCACGUAGGCGGCUCUUUAAGUCGGGGGUGAAAUCCUGGAGCUCAACUCCAGAACUGCCUUCGAUACUGUAGAGCUUGAGUUCGGGAGAGGUGAGUGGAACUGCGAGUGUAGAGGUGAAAUUCGUAGAUAUUCGCAAGAACACCAGUGGCGAAGGCGGCUGACUGGUCCGGUUCUGACGCUGAGGCGCGAAAGCGUGGGGAGCAAACAGG
rnacentral:rRNA from 1 species